GCAAUUCCCCGCGUCAGCCUCCUGAGUAGCUGGGACAGGCCGCUGGUUGUCCCUUGCUCCUGGAAGGUCACCAUAUUGAUGCCAAACUCAGUGUGGAUGCCCAAUUGGUAGAGUGCACUACAGCCCAGAACUCAUGGACUCAAGUCAGCCUCCCAAGUCCCUGGGACUACAGAUUCCUGAAUGAUCCGGCGGCAUGGCAGAGGUGGUGCCUACUGAUAUGGCUCCGAUGACUGGAGGAACACCAGGGUCCUUGGUCUUGCGCCAAUGUAGGUGUUCUUUGAGAAGAAUGACAACUCUGUUGGUGAAAAUACAUGUGAACUAAAUUGCAGUGAACUGAACUGAACCAAACUGAAACGUGGACAGUAUCAGGUGAGGCUCAAAGGAAGGUGGAAGAUGUGGAAGAGUUUAGAAUGUGUGCCGUUCUCUUCAAGGGGGAAGGAGUAUGACUGUUAUGCCCAUAGAAGGGCUGGGAGAACAAGGGGCCCUCACCGUGUGGAAGGAAGCACUCUAAAACGAAGCCCCCACAGAGGCAAAGAUCGGAGUGAUAUGGUACAAGCCAAGGCAUGCUGGCAGCCACUAGAAGCUGGCAAGGAAGGAUUGUCCCCCAGAACCUCAGUAGUGUGGUUCUGCUAACACCUUGCUUUCAGCCCAGUGAAACUGAUUUCAUACUUUUGCCUUCCAGAACUAUAAGAGAAUAAAUUUCUAUUGUCUUAUGCCGCUAAGUUGAUGGUAAUAUGUUACAGCAGCCACACGAAACAAAUAUAGCUGUGUACUACCUAACAACGUUUCUGUCAAUGAUGGACCAUACAUGCAACAGUGAUCUCAUAAGAUUAUAAUGGAGCUGAAAAAUUCCUGACAUUGUAGCUGUUGUAGUAUGGCAGCACGACACAUUUCUCACAUGUUUGCAGUGAUGAUGGUGGUGUAAACAAACCUAUUGUACUGCCAGACGUAUAAAAGUAUUAGAAAAAUGUGGA
rnacentral:lncRNA from 1 species